UGCAUUCACCUACAGGAGCCAGCCCA
rnacentral:piRNA from 1 species